CGCAGCCGCGGUAAUUCCAGCUCCAAUAGCGUAUAUUAAAGUUGUUGCAGUUAAAAAGCUCGUAGUUGAAUUUCGGGAUUGACGUGAUGGUCAUGCCUUAAGGGGUAUGAACUGUUGCAGUUGAUUUCUCACCUUCUGGAAAAACUUGAUGUCCUUUAUUGGGUGUCUUGCGGAUCCAGGACCUUUACCUUGAAAAAAUUAGAGUGUUUAAAGCAGGCAUUUUUGCUCGAAUACAUUAGCAUGGAAUAAUAGAAUAGGACGGCAUGGUUCUAUUUUGUUGGUUUCUAGGAUCACCGUAAUGAUUAAUAGGGAUAGUUGGGGGGCAUUAGUAUUCAAUUGUCAGAGGUGAAAUUCUUGGAUUUAUUGAAGACUAACUACUGCGAAAGCAUUUGCCAAGGAUGUUUUCAUUAAUCAAGAACGAAAGUUAGGGGAUCGAAGACGAUCAGAUACCGUCGUAGUCUUAACCAUAAACUAUGCCGACUAGGAAUCAGACGAUGUUAAUUUUUUAAUGACUCGUUUG
rnacentral:rRNA from 1 species